rnacentral:lncRNA from 1 species
GUAUCAGGCGUAAUGAGAAGAUUGUGUGCUACAUGACUAUAAGGGUUGAGAAGGCGAUGCAGCUGCUGGAGAGUGGCCUGAAGGUGAAGGAGUACGAGCUGCUCAGGAGGAACUUCAGCGACACCGGAUGCUUUGGCUUCAGUAUCCAGAGCACAUCGAUCUCGGUGUGAAGUAAGUUGAAUUGGUGGCAACCCUUGUGUCAGUGAGGUGCUUGUUUGGACUGGUUAAUACUUAUUAUUCUGUUUCAUUAGUAAAUAGCUGAAACCAAAAUCAUAGAGCAGAAAUAUAUUUGGUUGAACUGCUCUUUCAUUGUACCACCAAAUACUGAAGUUUGGGGUGGGUGAAAUCUUAGGCUUUAUCCUUCAGGUUUAGCUUGUUAUGAAAAUUUAUUUACUUGUCAUGUAUUGUACGCCUGCCUUUCUUUGGCUUCCUGAAAUCACAUUUUGUUUGGCAGGGGCCAACUUUAAUUUGCUCAUCACAAACAAUUCAAAAAAUUGUACGUAUGUGCAGCUUGCUGAAACUUUGACUGAAUCUAGUUGGAUCUUCAGUUUCUUGUAUCUAUGAACAAAUAUGCAUCACUUUUUUUUCUUUUUGGUUCGAGCAAACUCAAGAGUCCUUUCUAAAACUGUAGCCAAGUUGUACCGCCUGCUACUUGAAAAAUAAAGAUGAAUGAAUUGUUUCUCCUGCUCAACUCUUUCCUCUCUGUCUGUGUACGACAGUAGCAUUCAUGCACCAAGCCCAGAACCUGAAUAUUUUGUUUGGCUGCUAGUAAACCAGGAUGUACUCUUUCCAAGUGCAAGUUGGAUAGAACCUGCAAUUUAGUGCAGAGGCAUAUAUGGAUUCUGGUUCAAUUCGUAUGUAUGUUUGUAUGUGCAUGCUUAUGUCUUUGACUAAAACUAGUUAAUUCAUUGGUCUACCUUGAAGGUGACCAGUCCCUAGCUGCGCGCUUUGGUCGGUCCUGCUAAUUUCAGUUCCUAUGAUUUUUAAUCUCCAUUUUCUGUUUCCCCAGCUACCAAGACUCUUGAGUUUGUGGUGAUGGCAGCUAACACGGAGCCGAUCGGAAUCUCCCCCACCCCCUGUUGCUCCCUGAUAAUAACAAGGUAGAAAUACUGUUUGUAUGAUGCAUCAUAUAUAGUACUGCUAAUUAGUUUGUACUAGUCGCCAACCCGUGCAUUCGCACGGGCUAGUUUGAUAAGCUAUAUUAUAAAAUAUGGGAUGCAAUUGUGGAGAGUAUUUUUAUUUGCCUGGGGUAAUGAAAUUGAAGAGUCACGCAAUUUCCAUUGGAAAAGUAACAUCUUGUCUUACCAUUGAUAAUGGUAUAUGAAAUGAAGCAUAUAUUAAAUUCUCUCCCUUUAGAUAAGAAGUCAAACUACUUAAAGAACUUGAUAACGGUAUAUAAUGCCUUCAUAUUAUUGAAAAUUUUAGAAUAAUGAAAAUAAAUUUUUCUUCUUAUUAUCCUUUCACAUAUCACCUAUUCUGACCAGUCUCUAGAGAAACUAAGCAAUUUAUUUUAGAUAGAUAAUGAGACAUCCUCACAAAAUCAACCAACAAAAACAGUUUGAUGUUGAAAUUUUACUUUUCAAAAGAGAAUAGUUUCGAUGCAAACAUUAGAUACCAUUUACUACGUUAGCUACUUUUCUUGUUCCUCCUUUUGUCACAUAAAAUACAUAAGCCUAAUCUCCAACGGAUAUAUCACAAACUACAAAAAUCGUGCAUAGAGGAAAUAGUCAUGUCAUCGAGUGGUUGCACUUUAGUGCAUCCCUUUGGUUCCGUAUUGCCCUAAACAUGUCCUAUAUUAGUCAUUUCGUAAAAUUAAAAUGCCAAACUGUAUUAUUUUAAGAUACGUUCAAAAGUAAAAUGGUGUUGGCUCUUUCUUGAAUUCAGGUCAAUUUUGGUUAAUUGCAUAUACGGAAUUAAAAUAGAUAUUAUUUGGUGCGUACCGAGUCCAAACCAAAAUUUGAAUCAAUAGGAUAUUUACCGAAAUAAGUCCAAACCAAAAUUUGAAUCAAUAGGAUAUUUACCGAAAUACCAAUUCGAUAUUACAAAAACAAUAAUUUCUGGCAUGCACACGCCUCAUAUCCAUUAUCUGUCACCCUAUAUAUUCUAAAUAUACUAAACCUAGCUAGGUUUGAUUUACCCUGUUUUUUUGACUUUUUCUUAUCAGUGAAAACUUGACCAAUGAGAGGCUGACACGUCAAUUACUGGGGGAAAUUGUGGGGUAAGCCUUGGGUGCACUUAGCGAUUUGUGUCGAUGGCGAUUGCGGAUUGGUUUUCUCUUCUCCUCUCAGUUCCCUCCGCGUGUCGAUGCGUCUCUCGAAGACUCGCGUGGGCUCUCUGCCUCCGCCGCCCACCGCUCAACCGCCGAUGCACCACCGCUCAACCGCUGUAUCUCCUUAUAAAAUGGCUCCCGCCCCUCAAGCUUGCUCCAACGCCCAUGCCCAUCACGCAGCGCCCACACGCUCCAGCAGAUCCAGACGAUGUGAUGCUGGCGGUCGGCGAGGCCUCCUCGGCGCGCGGUUUGGUUCGCAGCGAACAGUGAAGCAGAGCUGCGCGGCGAUGGCGACGACCAGCGCAGGGCACGGGCGACACCGCGACAACAAGCACAAGGCCAUGGAGGGGCUCACGCAGCGCGCGGCGGUGCGCGGCUAGGCGGACCUCACGCUGCGGCGGCGGCAGGUGCGUGCUAGCCGUGGCCAUGAGAGGGGGCUUGCGGCGUGACUGUGGCAUGCGGCAGUGGGGAUCUCCCCAACCUCUCCUACCCCCCUUCUGAUGUGGGGAACCAUGGAUUGCCGAUUUUUUGCUGAAUCUUUAGUCGUGUGGAAAUGGCGUUUUGGCUGGGACGUGACGGUGCGGCCACCGGCGCCCUGCGUCCUCCACCGGUGUCGCAUGCUCAUGCCCCUGCCCCCUUCCUUCGGCCGUCCAGACUGCCUCCGUCUCAGCCGGUGGAUGUCCAUAUGCCGGAUAACGAGUGUAGCGGCGAUCACGGUCUGUCCUGCUCCGACAGUCCUCUGUCACUUCUUCCGCUGGCUUACUACUAAUGCAGGUGGAGUUCAACAUGGAAGAGCAUGGCCCAAGCAUCAUUCUGGGCGUAGCUGCCCACCUCUAUGUGACGACUGCUCCAAGGCAGACCAAGUGUUCGUCGUAAUGUCAGAGCGGCCACAGGUAAAAACAAAUCAGUCCAGUCCAUACAUUGUGUUGCUAUACUUAUGAAAACAGUUCCUGAAUCCAGGCACCAUAGAUUAUUGCCCUUAUGAUGCAUUUAGCUACUACUUCUGAACUCUGGAUUUGAUGGAGGUUUGCAUGUUUGUAGUGAUGAUCUUCGAGGUCUGUGUAGUGCCGGAAGACAGCGACCAGUAGCGGGCGCUCGCGCACUGCUUCUGGGAUGACACAGUCAGGACUAAUAAGGAUGAGGAUCAUGUUCAUAUUUCCAGUGGGUUCGUUCCAGUGGUAUGGACGCGGCGAGGCAAUUUAUAAAGUUUGCCAGAGCAGUCACUGCGUACUAUCCCACACUCUAUCGACGGACCACCUUCUUCCACGCCGACGCCGGUCGCCGGGGUAUGGUCAUCCAUCGCCAUGCAAGAGCGCUCUAAUCCCCUAGACAGUACUGCUCACAGCAGUUGCAGGCGCGAACGCAUUGCCCUCAGCCGUGGAUGCCACUGUCCCGAACCAAGGAUGUGCAGGCAUGUUUUAGAUUAUGAUUGUGCAAAGGAAUAUGUUAGAAAAUGACGGUCUGCAAUGGUGUACCAAAAUAUUGAACAUCUUCUGAUUUUACUGGAAGAUUGAUGUGGACAUUGAAGUUAUUGCACUGGCAGCUGAUUUUUUUCCCUUCACAUUUUUGAAGACUGAAUUUUCAGCAGCACUGCACCAUUAAUUGGCUUUCUGCAUGUGACUUGUGAUUGCAGCUGAUGAAGCCGUCAACCGUUGGAGGCAUGGAAUUGUCGAGCCCAAGGUUCGUCACCCUUGUUUUCUAAAGGGAAGCUAAAGUUGGGGUUGCCAAUCUCCGAGGAUUUUCUCAACGGUGAGCACUUCCCUUUUGUUUCUCUUGUUCUGAUCUUUACCACAAGUCGGCAAUAGUCCCUAUUGCACUUCUUGGAUUGAUCUCUCAUUUUAGUCACUACUGUUAUUUAAUAUAAUAAUAAGCCUCUAUUUUUUAUUCCGCAUGCAGUAUUGUUUGCUUACACGAACAAGAUUUCUAAGUUGUUAUAUAUUAAUGUGGUGAUAGGUUGAAAAGUUUGAUCACUGAGGAAUGGGGAUUACAGUCACAGAUUAUUAUUCGGUUAUUCCUCUUGCUGGUGCCUCCGCUGAAAGUUAUGCAUCUAUAUACAACCAUAUAUAUAAGUUUGCCUCUUCAAUCAGAAGAUUGUAUUAGCUAUUCAAUUCAUAGUUCAACCUUUGAAUAUACAGUUUUGGCUGAGUAGUUUGAGCCUCCGUUGUGCAACUGGAUCAUGGUACACAUCCAGACCUGCAGCUGUGUUUUAUUUUAUUAUCCUUUUUAGAAACUGACACGCUGCCUUCGUUGCCUAAACCCGUGCUUUAAUUAAAUGAUAAAUUUACUAUAAAGAUUUUUUUCUUUGACUCUUAUAUGAAAAAAUUGUACGAACAUGUGAUUGCUAUCCAGAUUAGUCAGGUCAUCCUGCAAAUAACUGUGGGAUACAUUACUGAUACUUACUCAAUCAUUGUAGUGAAAUAAUACAAGAUGGUGAACACCUCGGAUGCAGCUCAAAGGUCAAAUAUCAUGAUAUAGAGUAGGCAUUAAACCUAUCUUAUCUACUUAAUUUUUUGUUGCAGACUAAUCGUCUAUCUUAUCCGUACAUGGCUGAUUAGGAAGUAGUACAGUACCCGCAUGUUUAAUAGUUAUCAGAUUAUUUCUGUACAUAGUUGAUUUGUGUAUUGAGACGGGAGGCCAAGUUGUUCAAUUUGUGGAUUUGAUUUAUUCAGACUGGUGGCAUUCCUUAAUUUCUGAUUCCUGUUUAUGUUUGGUUUUGAGCUGUAAAUUAUUUAUUCUGGCACAUCUAACGGCUGCUUCUUUUGUCUAGCCUUCUUUCAAUGAAAUAUUUCCAGUCAGUAGACUAUACUUGCUAUUCCAAUCACAUACAGGCCUAGGGUUGUCCACUAAGAGAAGGUGCAACAAAUUCACUUGGUUUGUGAAUAUCCUUAAUAUAAGCUAGCAACUUUUCAUAUAUAUGCCAGGUUGUCUUCAAGCCAUAGAAGCACUAUCGAGCCCUGGAGCUGUGGCGACAGUGCCGUCCCAGCCACCGGCGUCCUCUUCCAUGCCAUGGCCAUCCAGGAGGAGUGCCACGGCUAUCGCAGUUCUCCCCAUGCCAUCCUCCUGGAUGUUGAUCGUGUCCUUGCACCGGCGGCAGCUGGAGCCUGGUACGUCCAGAGAGGCAUGGCCUUGGAUUGGAGCAUUGCAGUCAUCGAUCCACUUCGUGGUAGUCAUGGGGUAGGGUGGCGUAGAACUCAGCCCCGUGAGCUGCAGUUCACCAGUUCAUUCCUCAGCUGUAAGCCCAGCAAGAAGGAAAAUGGUUUGUGCUAUAUAUACGACUGAACUGGACAAUCACAUAGAAGGUAGAUAUUUGCACAUCUGAUUUCUUUUGUGUAGUCUGGGUACUCUUUCCCAUGGUGUUAAAAAAUAUAUAUGUUUGUGAAGUUGUAUGACUUAGUGAUUUUGUAGCACACUAAGUUGACCCAAACUGGCUUGAAUUUGUUGGUUAUUUGGCCUUGCCUGAACACGGUUGGUGAAAGCAGCAGUGCUUGCUUUGAUUUUUUUUUGUUCAGUUAAAUCAUUCACAUGAGUAUCUCAAUUUAAUUAACAGUGUAAGUUGAUUGUGAGGCUGUGUAUUUUUUGUUGAAGAAGAAAGUACCACCACAUGUAACUCAUUUGCACUUAGUGAAUUUCAGUUGGCAUCUUAAUAUUGGCCCUACUUUACAAUAUAAAGCAUUGCUCUGUUUGUAGGUUGCAGCAAGAUAUGCAAAAUACCCGUGCUUCUUACUAAUGAUGAUCCUAAUGUUAAUUCAAUGGGGAAAUGAAUAUCGAGUGCGGACAUAGUGUUGUUCUUUUAGGGCAAGAAAGAGAAAAAUGUUAAUUUUGGUUCCUUCCUUUUUAUGUAUAUGGAUGCAAUGUGUGCUUUCUGUCUAUUUGUAAUCUGUCUUAUAGGUAUACUCAUGAAGUAUACGACCAUUACUCCCUACAGUACAUAGUUCGGAUUUCUCAUUUGUAUAGUUCAAUGCUUUCGGUUUGGAUAGUUCACUCUUCCUAUUUGGUACCAAUUUCAAACUGAAGGACCGAUUCUUGAUCUUCUUCUAUAUUGGGUAUUGUUUAGUUUUGUGGGUAAUUUUAGUUCAUUUAUUUUGCAUAUUCCCAAUUUUUGUACAACUUCUCCGUAAGAAAUAGACACACUAGAUUCAUACACCUACCUUUGAAAAAUAUCAAUUUUUUGGCCAUAGGUGCUGAGUCCAAUGCGUAGAAUCUUCUAGAACCAUCUAUGACUUCAGCACCAAGGGAAAGGAGGGGCAGAGGAAGAGGCACAAUAAUGUAAGUUAGGUGGUCAAUUGCAUGGUCCGCUGGGAGAGAUCUGGCUGCCUAUGAACUGAUUUGUGGUGGGUGCGUUGAUAAUGAUCAAUAUUUGUUCAUCACCAUUCUGUGGUGUUGAUCCUCUAUUAUUACUCAUUGUUGGAAUACUAACUGUUAAAGUUUGUAGUUGUAGCGUUGUUGCAUGAACAUCCUUAGGCAUUUGUUUACCAGAGACCAUGCUUUCUGAUUUUCUUGAUGACUUGACAAACAAAUAAAAUUGCAAUAUGCAUGGAUAAACUGGUCAUAAACUCUUGAUUUCCUCUGCUCGGCAUAGUGACUAAUUUAGUGGUGAGCGGGUAGUUACCCAGUGUUUGUCUUAUUGUUUGUAGGUGGUCCUUCCUGUAGGUCUGUUGGGCAGGGCGAUUUGCGUGUUCCCUGUUCCUCCGUUCUGGUUGCGUCUUUUGGUAUUUUUUGCAUCUAUUUCUUUGCUUGAUUUCUUGCUUGCCGUAGGGUGUCAUUAACUUUUACUUCUUUUUUUUGGUAGGCCCAACUAUGGAUGUGGGAGGAGACCUUUAUGAACUCUAGGUCUGAUGUGUAGUCUUGGCAGAAAGAAACCACAAUGCAUAUACUUUUCAUCUUGCAAGAUGUAGCACUCAUGAUCAUAAUAAUGUAUCCUUUUGAAAUUAUUUCCGUGCAUAUAUAGCUUGCUUCCUUGUGACUACGGAGUUAUAAAAAUAAGCUUAUGCACAUGAAGCCCUUAUUUUCCAUCUCAUGAGUCAAGAGUAGCAUAUACACACACACGUACCGUAUCGCGGUCUUAUUUUCUAUCGUCUCAUAAGUCAAAAGUAGCAUAUACGCAUACGUACCAUAUCGAUGGGGUGUGGCGUGCCGCCGCACGGGUAUAGCUAGUGUGGUUACUACAAAUUAACAUGCAUAUUACUAUAAAAAACGUUGAAACUUCUAAUACCAAAAUACACCGAUACAUAUGUACAGGAACUGAGAAAAGAAAAGCGACUCAGAUUAUUACACUAUAUUUAACUUGGGCUCCAUUGCAUCAAGGAAUUUAUGUUCCGAUAGACUGACUCCGGCUCAUUAAGACUUGACAAGCUGAUCCCGUCAAAUAGUGCGAGCGAGAAGAGGCUGAGAAGGAUGGUAGUAUUUACAAAUAUGGAGACAACACAUAAUGAUACCAUUAAGACAAUUUAUUUCUCUGAAUACCACGGUGUAGUAAGUUAUCCUAAUAAAAAAAGGAAGCAACACAUACCAUAUAUAUCUGCACCGCUACCAUGAUACGUCGACAAAUCUUGCUCAUGUCGCCUAGGCUGAUCUCCUUGCGCAUGGCCUCUAGGACAAACAGUACUGCCGUCUCCCGGAACGUCUCAGCCGCAUCUCUGCCCACCGAGCCAACCACGCCUAUUGUUCUCCGUGUGGACAUAGCUACCAACGCAACCAUGCAUGGGGUCCAACCGUCAGCUUUUGUACCAUCUUGGAUAGUGGACACGGUCGCUGGUCUCUGACAGACCACAUCACAUGUAAGUGUAGUUUCAAGGAUUGAGGUUCCAACAACGAACAGAAAAAUAUAGUUUGAUGCUAGAAGCUGACAGAAGCUGACAGAUAUGGUAAGAAAAGUCUAGCUUCAGACUUCAAAGUGCUAAGCUGUACCAUACCAGGCUGCGCGCAAAGGUGAAGGCUGCAAUCUCUCGAGCAAUUAGAUUCUAAACUGGGCGGCAGAUGAUGUGCAUGCCGUGGAGGCCUGAUCAACCUCCCAUAGGUACCUAGGAGAACUCAACAGUGCUGGCACGCAAGUGAAGAGAAGCUGGGAAGUCCUUAACCUUUGUGGAAUACGGAAAAGAUUAGCAACUACUAUGUUAAAUUAUUCACUCUAAAAUUUACCAAAGAUUAAGGUUGCGUGUGUUGGACCUGUCACGACAGGUCUAAAAUUGCAUGAUUACAGUGCUAUUUCCCAUGAAAUCAGCAAUAUAUCCUGCGAUUCAGUAAGGGGAAAAUGGCAUCGAGGUACAACCAAAAUAGCAGCGAUAGAGGUCAUACCAUGCACGAUUUAAAGCUGUUGUAUAAACUGAUCAGUUAUAAUUGAACUUCAAACUGUAGUCGGUAUGUCCCACAGACACGGCGACCAUGUGGUCAGAGUAGCCAUUUGUAGCUGCUCCGACAGAUGAUUAUUAGCAAAGGCAUUGCAUAUUGGCUAGCUACAGUGUUUACACCAUGCUAUGGUCCUCCGUUCUCAAUAAGAUUCCAUCAGGAAAUCAAUUGAAUACCAAUGUUACAAUCUGAUGAGUGUGGGUACUCAGUUUCUUACCAAAGCUGAACACAAACAUUAUCUUAGCACACACUCCAAACAUCUUCCAUCUACUAUUUUCAUUCAUGCAGGAUGUAGCAUCAAGGUUCAAGAAACACAUACUUGGGAUUAGGUUGGAAGAAGAGAAACCUAGGAAUUGCUAGGAGUACGAUCGGAAACAAAAACAAAACAACACAUCCAUUAAGAAAUAUGGUCUCUAGGUAAACAAUUUCAUUUUUCUUGGUGUUGAUGCAUGCUGAUAUAGUAUCAAAAGAGUAAUUAGUCUGAUCUUUAUUUUCUAUAAGCAUGAACCCCAUGGUUAAUUGUAUUAAAUACAUCUAGGGACUUUAGUUUCCUCUUCAGUAUUGUGGGAAAAAAUACAAAAAAUUGGGACUUCAAUACAAACGAAAGAAGACGCAACUUAAAUGGUGACCUUCAAUUAUAUUUUUAUAUAAAUAAUGUCUACUGCAUAUUGUAUCGCUCUAGUUUUUGAAACUCUUGGAUAAAAAUCUGUCAAAAUGUAAAGGUCCCUAGAUCAAACUUGGCGUAGACAAUUGGACAGGCGCCCACCAGACUCUAAACCAUGACUCGAUGCACUUGGACCUCUCUAGAGGUGCAGAUCAAGAUGCUAGAAACAACUGCUUGGGCGUCUUGCCAUAAAACUUUGUCUCCAAUCUCCAUGUAUGUCAAGGUCAAAUCUGAUUAGGUAAUGAUCAUGGUACAAAAUCUAUUGUCUUUCUUCUUCAAUAUUAUGCAAAAAAUACAAAAAAAGUGGGACUUCAAUGCAAACAAAAGAACACGCAACUUAAAUGACGACCUUCAGUUUAAUUUGUAUAUAUAAGUAAUGUGUAUUGUAUAUUGUAUCCCUUUGGUUUUUGAAACUCUAGGAGAAAAAUCUGUCGAAAUGUAAAGGUCCCCACCAGAUCAAACCUGGCGUAGGCAAUUGGACCAACGCUCACCAGACUCUGAACCAUGACUCUGAUGCACCUGGACUACGCCAGAGAUACAGAUCAACAUGCUAGAAACAACUGCUUAUGCGUCUUGCUGUACAACUUUGUCUCCAAUCUUCAUGUACGUCAAGGUAAAAUCUGAUUAGGUAAUGAACAUGGUACAAAAUCUAUUGUAUAGGUUAGUAACUAUAGAGGAAAACUACAGAAGGUUAGUAUAGAGGAAAACUACAUGAAGAACGAAUAUCAGAAGAAGAAAUAGCCGGAGCUUCAUCGAAGACCAGAAAAUCCGAUCAAAUUGUGACGGAGAACUCAUCAUGCAAACAUACAUUUUUUAUGAUGCAUAUGCGCUAACACAAAUAUCUCCUAAACAUCUUACUUAAUACCUGAAAAUCCGAUCAAAUUGUGAAGGAGAACUCAUCAUGUAAGCAUUCAUUAUUUAUGAUGCAUAUCCACUAACCCAGAUAUCUCCUAAACAUCUUACUUAAUUCAGCACCAACAUCCCCAAUAUUUUUUACAUCGAUUCCAGUUCCAUCUGGUGCAGAAUAAAAGAUAAAUGUGGAAGUGGAAGGAAUAUAGAUUAGUUGAAAGAUAUGAUUGCGCUUAUCAAUUCUAUUUAAACCGUCUGACAUCCUGGCUCGCUGAUCACGUUUCACCCCUGUACAUAUCUAUGCAUGCAUCCAUGACAUGCUUGGUUCUUAUGCUAUGGCCGCGAAUGUAUUUGAGCCAGUCAUCUACAACCGAACCUGCUUCUAGGCUGCCAUACAUCCCAUGCACUGUCGGCGAUGGGGUUAUUGCGGCCCGAACUCCCAGCAGCUACCACAACGUAGAGAACGAAGAUCUGAGAAAUUACAUGGUUAAAGCAUGAACAAAUGAGAUGUGCAAACAGAUUGGGGAUUAAGGGCAUGGAAAUUCAAUCCAGCAUGCAAACCUAGCCAUGGAUCAAGACUUGGAGGAGCCCCAAAUCAAGCCUGAAGACGAAUAUCAAUGAAAAAUAAAAAAUCAGAUAAAAUUUGCAGGCAACCACAAACUCUCUUUCAGCAGGCUGACAUGAUACCUAGAAGUAGGCAGAAAACCAACAACACCAUACUCCAUCACUGCACCUUGAAACCGAACAUGGCGCGCUCAAGCACGCUGACUCGCACAACGGCCGCCACAACACAAAGAGAAACGAAGAUCCGUGGAAAUCGCACGGAUAAAGUUUGAAUGCAUUAGGGGAUUAAGCGCUUGGAAAGUUUGAACGCAUGAGGGGAUUAAGCAUGUGGAAAGAUUGCUAUGAUCGACCAGCUGUAUACAGCGAGGCGAACACGGCAGCUGCGUGUGUGAGAGGGUUUUUUAUUUUUUGAGAUGAAGCGAUGGGGAGUUUGUUUUUUAGGGUAAGGAGAUGGGCAGUUUUUUUAGGGGAAGGAGAUGGGCAGUUCGUGACCUACACGAUACGAUCUGGAUUAGGAUCGUGUCUUCCAUGUAUUCUACAUUUACAACCGUCAAAGAUUGUGGGCUUUAGAAAGGAAAAAAAACUUUUGAAGGAGAUGGGGAGUUCGUGACCUACACUAUACGAUCUAGACGCCUCUUAGAAACAGAAUUGGGACAAAGAUUAACAUAGAUUGCAUUGCGCAUUUUAUUAAAGGGCUUAAAAUAGACUGGUUAAUCUACACCGUUAUAAUUCGGUCCCACCAGAUUGACGGCUCCUAAUUACUGAUUAAUGUGGUAAUUUCUUAGGAGUCGCUAAUUAGUAGAGGUAUAGAUAGAUGUUGUUGUUUGUGUGAUAUGGUUAAACCGAUGACUGUCAAGCUCAUAAUUUUGUAUGUGUUAAAAAUUAAUAGAAUAUAUUUCUUUGGCCUUCUAUUUUUAUUUAUCAAAUGAAAGGACAUUCUGUUUGGAAGUGGACAAUUUUGCUCAAAAAUAAGUAAAUAAAUUGUAUGUGCAUGCUGAAACAUAAGAUGUCUGUUGGUUGCUGUAUAUGGGCAAGAUGAAUUGAAUCCUACCGUGUACUUGUCAAUUCUAGCUUAUAUUGCUGAAACGUAAUAAGUGAAUUUUGUCUAUGUGAGAUUAGAAUCUGAGUGCUUUCAUUCAUAUUAUGGUAUCAUGUUCUCUGUGAUAACUGUUAAGUUGCAAGAUGAAUGCAUUCUUCUAUCCAGCUUUAGUUGUUUUUCAUUGUUUUGUAUUGGCAUUCAGCCCCUCACCCAACUCGCUCAUGAUGCACGACAGCAAUAACGGGAAGAUCAUGCUAGUCUGCAUCAUCAUGCACACCAUGGAGAUCACCCACCUCCUCAACAACGACAACUCCAUCCAGAUCAUCGUCGACGCCAUCAUUAACUGGUACUAGCCUAUCGAUUCCCUUAUCUCCCUCCUUGAAAUAGCUAGUAUUAUAUGCUGUCAGUUGAAUGGAUGAGAGUGGCAUCGCACUAACAUUUCCUCUGUUUGAAUAAAUUGUAGGAGAAGGCUCCCUACGUUGCUCCGGAAACUUGCUGUGUGCUGGGCAACUAGUGAUGUGGCACACCAAGCAGCAGCACUAAUUGAUGAAGGAUGGUUGUUGUUAGUUUAGCUCCUUGCAAGUGUCUACUGCUGCUAGUAGAAAUAGAAAUGCUGCUAGUAGAAAUAGAAAUGGUAGAAAUAGAAAUGUUGCUUCAUUUCCAUGUUAAUUCAGUCAAUGUCCAGUGUAUCUACUAUCUACUGUCGUGACUGUUUAAAGAGUUCUUUUGUGUUGAAAGAAAUAAAAUGGUUUGAAUUCAUGUGUACAUGCUGAGAUGUCAAGCUGGAAUAACCAUGUCUGUUGUGGAGGCCCAAAAUAGAUUGCACUGUAAAAGGGCCGAGGCCCAAAAAAGAAAUGAAUUAUAGAAGGCCAUGUCCUAGAAAAUAAAAAGAAAAGGCACAACUAGAUAUAUAAAAAGGCUGAAUUCUUGGGCCAGGCCCAUGAAGCUUACCAGAAUUAACAAGGAAAAAAUACAAUAAAUGGGCUGAAUUAUUGGGCUUGGCCCAUAUAGACACCGAACUGGACCGGGCUGAAUCUUAUCAACGACCUUUUCAAUUGGUCGUAAUUAUGCCAUAUCAGGUUGCCACGUCGGAUCCGACGUGGCCUGGGCAGACAACCAGUGACCAAAACAAAAGGUCAUGGGUUCAACGACAUUUUGUUUUGGUCGUAAAAGUCUACGACCUUAUCCCGAAGAAGGUCGUUAAUUUCACUUUACGACUGUCAGCUUUUGACCAUCUAUUUUUGGUCACAAAAUGGUCACAAAUGAAAAACAAUGACCAUUCAGUGACCAAUAGUCAAGGUCACAAAUUGACAUUUUUCUUAUAGUGAGAGCAUGCAAAAAUUUAGAGUGAUGCUAACAACCAGUGGGUGGAUCCAAAAAUAAUGAUAGCAGGCUGAUGAUUGCUUUAAUUUAAUAAAAAGACAGAUGAUGAUUGCUUUACUAUUUGUUUCCCACCCAAGAUGAACAACAUAGGCAUACCCUAGGUGAACCAGAUAUUAGACAGACAUACUAUUCAUUGCUGCCUCGAUAUGUGCCCCACAACUAAUUUAGAACUCAAGUUUGAACAUUAAUUUGGACCUGAUUUGGGAGUCCAAGAGCUGAACAGGACGAUAAAGUAGCAGGUAAUUUUAAGCAAUGCAUAACAUAAGCAGAAACAAAAGAGUGCGACCUCUCUUGUGGAUCCAUGUACUCCUCAGGUUCAUCUUCUAAGUCGAUGAUGGUGAUGUCGUUGCGGUGGGUGCCGGCGGCAGGGAAGGAGAUUUGAGGCGGCGAAAGACGGCCAGGAGUCGUGAUGUCUAGUUUGGUGGAUGCUUAUGUCGAUGGAGCAGCUCAGGUGAGGUGGACGACGUCAUGGCAGGAGCAGGACAAACCACACAAAGUUCCCUUCGACACCUACCUAUAACUGAAGUAAUUCUGUAAGGGCUCAUUUGGCUUGCAUGAUUCUAAAAACGCAGGGAUAGGAAAAACACCAGAAUAGGAUAGGAAUGCACAUGGUAAAUAGAGCAUUUGUAAACACAUGAUUUCUGUCAACUUGGGUGUUUGGUUUACAGGAAUUGGAAGAGCAAAGGAAUGCAAAGAAACAUGGCCAAAAUAAAGUGAAACCAUAUGAAAGCGUGUACAGUUAGAAUGUUAUUCUGCCACUAAUGCACUUGGUCUUGUUUUCAUGCAUAGGAUUUUGAAAAGUAGGUCCAGGUGGAUGUUUUGCUUCAUUCCUUUCAACCAAAUGCAUGAAUAAUUGAAUAGUAGAGUGCCACUCGAAAAUUCCCUAUUGCUAUGUUUUUCCGUUGAACCAAAAUAGCCCUAAUGGAUCGACGUGAAUGUAUAGUAAUAAGUGAUGCAACAAGUGUACAACCUCUUUGCCAUAGCCGUCUAGACCUCAGCAUCAUUGGGUUGGUCGCUGAAGCAGUUGAGGCAGAGGUGGCUGUCGGAGGUGUGGAGGAAGGUCUGAGGAAUCUGUAGACAGCGUCCAGGGCAUUGCUCUACUGUGAUGGAUCGUUCUGUCAUUGGAGCAGCUCCGGUGAGCCGUAAGACGUCAAGGCUGAAGCAGCACAAGACAGACAUCGUCAAUCAGGGGGGAUUCUAAUAGCAUGUCCAAUAGAUGAUGUAAAAUAGACGUAAAAUUUACAUCACCAAAAACCACCUGACUACAACAGAUGAGGUAAAAACUGUUGACUCUGAACUUAACUGUCGAAACUGAAAUUUACUGUGGAAUCUGAAUGAUACUGUCAAAACUGAACGCAAUGGUAGCAGAGAGGCACUUGAUAUGUAGUUUAGGGAGGGCCUGCAAUUCAUCUUCAACCUGCACCCUCCUGAGCUGCCAGCCACCACCGGCCAAACCGCCGGCCCCAGCGCCGCCUCGCCGCCCCGAAACAACUCGCCACCGCCACCCAGGCCAGCCCUCUAGGCCCCCCGACCAAACCUGAACCCUAAGAUAGAUAGUGGGGUACUUCUCCGACGAGCCCCCGUCCCUGCUGCCAGUGGUUCUUUCUUAACUCCUGCGAGCCCCCCAACCCCUGAAAAUCGACUGACCCAAAAGUCGAUUCAGUCGACUAAUGUGUGGCUAAAUCGGAGUAGAGCAGCAGCACGAGCAAGGGGGAGAGCAACAUCAACAACUGGGCGAGCGAGCGAGAGCCAGAGCAGCAGCAGCAACUAGGCGAGCGAGCGAGAGCUGGAGCAGUAGCAACAACGCGGGCAAGCGAGCGAGAGCUGGAGCAGCAGCAACACAUCCGGCUGGUAUGGACGCCGCCGCCGAAGGGGCCUCGCACUAGGGGAGAGCCGCCAUGGAGAUGUCGCCCGCGGCGCCGGGGUAGCCGCUCCAUGGGGGUGCGGGAUGGAGCACCGUCGGUGCCGGGAGGUUGAGUUAAGGAGAAGGUGCGAUGCGAUGAGUGUACAACCUCUUUGGUGGCGCUGAGUAGGCCUCGGCUUCGUCCGAGGAGUCGAUGAGGAUGCUGCAGUUCCGGUGGAGCAGGUUAAGGCGGCGCUGUGGGGAUGGAGCAGCUGCGAUAGACGAGGCGAUCAUCGGAGCAGCUCCUUGGAGGUGGAGGACGGGGUGGCUGAACCGGCGGGACGACGAGAUGAACGACGAAUCCUCAUCUGGGGAGGUAGACGAGGGACGUCGAGCUGUUGCGGUGGACGACAUCGUCAGGGAAGAGGCUCCGGCUGGGCAGCGGUGAGGUGGCGGACGGAGGAGGAUGGGGUUCUGCGGCUGGAGCAGAGAGGUUAUGGCGGCCUGGGAUUUCGAAUGGAGAAAAGGGGGCGAUGGGAGGAGGUGAAGCAUGACUUAGGGACGCGCUUGUCCAAAAUGUAGGGUGUGUUACAAAAGUACCCCCACCGAUUUGAACUAGCGGCCCUUUCAGCUCAGGGUUAGAGUGGGGAUCUCGCGUGUCGGGAUUUGGCAGCUGGAGGGAGUUUUCGUGCGCGUUGUAAUUUCGGGAUAACAAGGCGCGGGUUGUGAAGGCGCCAAUUUUGGGAGCACGAUAUCUGAAUUUUCCGGAUAUAACAAGCCGCAUGUUGAUUUUUAGGGACAAGCCUAACGUGUAGUAAUAUUGUACUUGUACGUACCAAAUCAAUUCGCACUUUCCUCAACCAAAAAUAAAACGAAAAAAAUAAAACUAUUCACACCACACAAAGAGAGAGUCUUGCCCCGUUUUACUAUAAAAAUGCUAUUCAAAGCUACUCCCUCCUUCCAUCUAUAUAGGGCCUAAUGCGUUUUUCGAUGCUAACUUUGACCAAAUAUUAGAGCAAUAAUAUAUGACAUGCAACUUACACGAAGCACACCGUUAAAUUCGUUUGUGAAAGGUUCUUUCAAUGAUAUAAUUUUCACAUUGUGCAUGUCAUGUACUAUUAAUCUUGUCAAUAGUCAAAGGCGGUCUUAAAAAUCUCAUUACGCCAUAUAUAGAUGGAAGGAGGGAGUAUGAAUCCAUGUUAUGUCCAAUUAAUUUUUUUUCGCUUGCUGUAUAAUGCAUGUAACGACCUACUCAUACCAACAUUUUAGUGCAUUCCAAAUGUCUAUACUACCAUUGCAAUUCGAAUCAAAUUUGAAUUCGUUUCUCUAUUUCAAUAAGAAUCUACAAUCAUGAUCGUUGCCAAGUUCAACCAUCAUUCGUGUAUUACCUUAAUAACACACCACAUGAUUACUAUAGAGAUAGAUAUGAACUAUGUGUACUACAUGAACUCGAAUUCUAUUUUUUGAAUACACUUGAUGUUGAUUCCAAAUAAUAGUAUAUUUGAUAUACUAACUAUAUAUUCAUAAUCUAAACAAUGUUCCAUACAUACACCGUGUUUAUCACACAAAGUAUAGUGCCCCGCCCCCUACAUUAUGACAACUAUUUAGACCUGAGUUGCAAAAGCCACACAUUAGCCCAAAUUAUAAUCAAUGUUCUACAUUAUGAUAUCUUCUUCAAGUAUCCGUAUCCACUCUUUUAUAAUGAAUUAUGAUCUUUGUUCGUCUUUUACACCUUCACGAUCCUCUUCUAUUUGUAGCUAGGUAGCGCUAACUUUCUAUCAUGCAUGCACACGCCCGCCCCCCUCUCACCCACCCUUAGCGUCCCCUGCAUCACGCACGUUCAUUAUUUCUCUUUAGGUCGUCCACCCGCGUGUGUGUAGGCCACCGGCUCCUUAUUUCCGGCACACAUCGGUCGAUAUACCUCUCUAGCCAAGUGUGCCUACAACAAACACAUAUAUACUUCCCCUCUUCUCUUCUCACCGUCCAUGCCCCCCUAUGUCCAAUACGGUUCCACGUAGGUGCACACUCCCGCCCCUCUUUUCAUUGAUCACAUACUCGCAAAAUCCUCCCCCAUGACAUGGUAGGCCUCUCGCACCACCUCCUAGCCGCACCCUCUCCCCUUGUCUGUCUCUUCGGACCUUAUUAGCUUCUAACACAUGUAGGCGUGUAUAUGAACUGAUCUCCCUACAUAUAGCCAGGUCGACUAUAAUUCGUUUUCACCAAGCACUGCUACACUUACCUCGCUAGUCAUGUCUCUCCCUUUCUCGGACACAUGAUGAUUGAUCUUCCUAUGUAGUUACUUAUGCUUACCACAACCAUAUCUUCUCCCCUCAUCAUCCUUGAAUACCUCCCGACCCGUCUCUCACACGCACGUGCAUAGACAGACAGACACCCCCCGCCCUCUCUUAUUGAUAUUGCACUCAUACCCUCCAUUUGUCUAACAGGCCUCUCCCACUAUUUGUGAGACGCCACUCCACCACCAACCCUCCCAUGCUCUACCUUUGUCUUUUUCCCAACCUUAUUCCUCUUCUAUACAUAUCCAUGGAUGUCGAUCGAUCUCCCUCAAUACAUAGCUAGGUCUCUCUCCUUCCCCACACAUAUACUAGUUGAUCGGUCUCCCCCCCUCCCCCCACACACCGAUAGUCGAACGUUGUAGGUAGGUAUCCAUGCCACGGAGAAAAACUACACCUCUGCCCUCUCAAAUUCCAGUAGGCCAGCCGCCCUGUAUCUUUGAUGUGGGCAAACACAAAUUCGAUGGCACUCUUUAUCGAUCGCGCAGCCACACACUUCAUCCCUGUUUUCAAUUCUAUCGAUAUCUCACGUCCAUGACUCCGUUUCACACACAUUGCAUAUGUUACGUUUUUCUGUUUGAGAUAUCAUUAACCCAUUGCCUCUGUUUCGCACAAACCAUCUCUCUGACACCCACCCACGUACGUACCUGCACCUAAAUAGGAAGUGCACGCAGGACGCACGUACUCCUGUCCCAUUCCCGGCCACACCCGCGCGGGUACAUGGUGGAGUUCGUUUCUGUACGAGAAGGCAGCCCACAUGAUAAUUUGACGCGUGUAGCGGUUGUUUACUCGAAGGAGGGUCGGGUACCACGCCUAGACGGAACAAAGUUCGACUUGACGCGCUAGCAUUAAAUGAAGUUAUAUAGUCCUCAAUGGCACGUAUGGAAUAUAAAACGAUUGCCGUGGGGAAAAUGGAAAAAUGGGUUUGUCUCUCGUCACACCAUCUCACACAAGGCGGCCGUGGCCUCUCUCUCUUAGCGUUGGUCAGUGAUCCGGCCGCAUCCCGUCCACGGCGGAAAGGGAGGAUGUGCAUCGUCUCUCCGUUCGACGGCGUUGAGGCAGCACAUCCCGAUCUGCGGUACCCGCCGUUCUCUCUGACCAAGCUCCGGCGCGGUAGGGCCUUCGCCACUUGCUCCCUACCGCAGUAUGGACAGAUCUCGGCCGCCGGCGCCCUCCUAGUAACAUCCUAAUGACCCUCAGGUACAGCUUCCUCCGGCCUUGCUCCACUGCCCAUCUUCCCACGUUGCUGCAUGUGGAUCUUCUUUAGUUGUUUGCUUAAAUCGUAUCUCGGCCGGUGUACUUUCCAUCUUGCAAUCUCGUCCUCAAACCAUUUUUGAUAAACCACCAUGUGCUAUCUUUCCCUUACUACAUGGAACAUGCUUCUUUUUGUCGGUGUAUGUGUCUUCAACUCGUGUUUGGGCAGUAAUUGUUUCCUUUCGACCUCCUUUUGCAAACAGGGCUAUCCAUUUUCACCUCGUUGCUAUUGCGACCUUUUAGUAAACUGCACAAAUCACUUUUUUCUAAAGAGUGUUUUGUGCAGUUCCGCCAAAAUGUCACACGGGCAACGUUUUUACAUUUCUAUGGGACUGUGGAAAGGGAGAUUGGUUUUGCUAUCCUCCUCAUCCAACUCCGUGCCUAAUCUUCUCCAACAAGAAGUUAGUCCUAAAGAGAGAUCGUAGAGGUGAUCGACUUCUAUUUAUGUGUGUUAUGUUUCAUCAUCUAGUUCCACUAUUAUUGUAAUCACACUGACUGUAUAUCUUUGCAAACAGGGAUGGUCCGCUCGAUUUUAGUGGAGCUGCACAAAAUGAUCGGAUUGUGGUGUCCUUCAUACACCUCUUUUUUGGCUACAGAGCUGGGUGAAACUAGCUGCCAUGCAAUGAACACUAUGCCAAGGAAAUGGAGCCAUGCCUACGAACAACAUUGAUCAAUUAUAUUUUUUUCUUUAUUUGUACACCUUCUCCCAACUUUGUCUUCAGUUGUGAUGUGAAUAUUGGCGCUGAUCUGCGAACCAUUGAGAUGCAUUAGCCAUGGUAGUUUCAUUUGUAUUUGAUGGAAUAUUGUAACGAGAUAAUCUCGAGGCAAGACACAUGAAUCCUAAGCUGAAACCUUUUUUUUCCUGCGGGAACCAAAGUUGAAACCUUCAUAGCAUCACAGUACAAUUUCACUAAAAUUAUGCGUACAUAUAAACAAAUCCUGAAGGAUUAAUAGCAAUGCCAAAAACAAUUCAACUUCGUUUCACCGACAUGUUGGACAUCCUUCAUCCGGCUCCACCUACCAUGCAACAAUAUUGAGUGCACAACACAACUUCAGGGAAAGAUUCACCCCGGUCGUUGCACUGCAGUAGUAAUGACCAGUGAGCAGUCAAAUCACAGAGCCCCACCUUCGCCACAGUAAGUUGCUCGGACGAAGCAACCAUCAUUUCUCUGUUCCUUGAAUCCGCUGGUACUCCCAUAUUCCCACAGUAAUAAGUUGCUCGGGCGAAUCAACCAUCACUAUAUCCGCUCACGUGUAAUGACCAGAGGAGAUAUCCAUUCAGAUUGUAUGUUAAAAAAAAUAAAGGUCGAUAACUAAUGCGGCAAACUUUCAAAAAAAAAAA